rnacentral:sRNA from 1 species
CCGGUCGCCGAAAUGGGGCCGGCGAAACCAGGGAGCGCCAGCUCUUUGGCGCUCCUCGUAUCUAUGUUGCUCGAUGGAGGAUGUAGCUAUGAGAA